GGAAUAUCCACCUUCCAAAAAUGUUUAAACUUCAGCGGACCAAAAAAGAGCAUGCUCGUCAUAUCCGAAUUUAUUGGAUGUUCUCCAUCACUGAGUGGAGCAUUUCGUGUCAACCCAUGGAAUGUUGAAAGGACAGCAGAGGCUCUGAAUGAAGCAAUCUCAAUGUCUGAUUCAGAGAAGCAGCUGCGACAUGAGAAGCAUUAUCGUUAUGUUGCUACACACGAUGUGGCUUAUUGGUCUCGUAGUUUCUUGCAAGAUAUGGAGAGAACUUGCUCAGAUCAUUUCAG
rnacentral:misc_RNA from 1 species